rnacentral:rRNA from 1 species
CGUAGGUGGCAAGCGUUGUCCGGAUUUAUUGGGUUUAAAGGGUGCGUAGGCGGUCUUAUAAGUCAGUGCUGAAAUAUCCCGGCUUAACCGGGAGGGUGGCAUUGAUACUGUAGGACUUGAGUAAAGUUGAGGUUGGCGGAAUUGACGGUGUAGCGGUGAAAUGCUUAGAUAUCGUCAAGAACACCUAUAGUGAAGACAGCUAACUAAGCUUUAACUGACGCUGAGGCACGAAAGUGUGGGGAUCAAACAGGAUUAGAUACCCUGGUAGUCCACACUGUAAACGUUGAAGACUCGCUGUUGGCGAUACACAGUCAGCGGCUGAGAGAAAUCGUUAAGUCUUCCACCUGGGGAGUACGCCGGCAACGGUG